CCCUUAGAUGUCCUGGGCCGCACGCGCGCUACACUGAACGGAUCAGCGCGUUUUCCCUUCCCGAGAGGGACGGGUAACCUGCUGAACCCCGUUCGUGGUAGGGAUCGGGGCUUGCAAUUAUUCCCCGUGAACCAGGAAUGCCCAGUAAGUGCAAGUCAUAAGCUUGCGUUGAUUACGUCCCUGCCCUUUGUACACACCGCCCGUCGCUACUACCGAUUGAACGUUUUAGUGAGGUACUCGGACUGAGCCUCAGAAGAUUCACGUCUUUUGUGCUGCUCGGGAAGAUUCCCAAACUUGAGCGUUUGGAGGAAGUAAAAGUCGUAACA
rnacentral:rRNA from 1 species